GACGCACGCUGGCGGCGUGCUUAACACAUGCAAGUCGACCGGCGUGGCGAACGGUUGAGUGACACGUGGGUGACCUGCCCUGCACUUCGGGGUAAUCCUGGGUAACUGGGUCUGAUACCGGAUAGUGUGGGAUGGGCCCGGGGCCUAUCAGCUUGUUGGUGGGGUUAUGGCCUACAAAGGCGGCGACGGGUCGCCGGCCUGCGAGGGUGGACGGCCACAUGGGGACGGGGAAACGGCCCAGAGUCCUACGGGGCGCAGCAGUGGGGAAUAUGGCGCAAUGGGCGGAAGCCUGAUGCAGCGACGCCGCGUGGGGGAUGACGGCCUUCGGGGUGUAAACUCCUGUCUCCAUCGACGCGGUAGAUGGAGAAGAAGCACCGGCUAACUACGUGCCAGCAGCCGCGGUAAUAC
rnacentral:rRNA from 1 species